rnacentral:rRNA from 1 species
UACGGGGGGGGCAAGCGUUGUUCGGAAUUACUGGGCGUAAAGGGCGCGUAGGCGGCCUUCUAAGUCGAACGUGAAAUCCCCGGGCUCAACCCGGGAACUGCGUCCGAUACUGGGAGGCUUGAAUCCGGGAGAGGGAUGUGGAGUUCCAGGUGUAGCGGUGAAAUGCGUAGAUAUCUGGAGGAACACCGGUGGCGAAGGCGGCGUUCUGGACUGUUUCUGACACUGAGGAACGAAAGCCAGGGGAGCAAACGGG